AGCAUCGGAACAGUGUUAAUGGU
rnacentral:siRNA from 1 species